rnacentral:sRNA from 1 species
GCCGGGCGUGGCGGCACAUGUCUGUUGUCCCAGCUUCUUGGGAGGCUGAGGCAGGAGAAUUGCUUGAGCCUGGAGGUCAAGGCUGCAGUGAGCCAUGGUUGUGCCACUGUACUCCAGCCUGGGUAACAGAGCAAGACCCGGUCUCAAAAACAAAAACAACAACAACAAAAUUUUUUUAAGGGGGAGUGAGAUGGGAGAGAAGGGAGCCUUAUUUCUCGGAAACCAGCCCUGCCACCCUCUUCCCAUGACCACAGGAGCCUCCCCUGUGACGGAGUUGUGAGAUUGGGGGUUUCUGGUGUCCUGACUUCUGUCCCAGGGAUCUCCUUGGGUUUCCCACGUUGCAGAGACUAACUGAAAGGACAUGAGGGCUUUACCCUGGGAAUGCUCUGCUGGGGCAGGUGGGUGUUAGCUGCGAUUCUGUGUUAUCUUCCCAUCCUCAGAGGUCUGCGGGGUUUCCGAGAGGCUCGCCGGGAUUUCUGGCGGGGGGCUGAGAGCCUGGAGGCUGCCCUGACCCACAACGCAGAGGUUCCCAGGCGCCGGGCCCAGGAGGCAGAAGAGGCAGGAGCUGCUUUGAGGACGGCUCGAGCUGGGUACCGGGGACGGGCACUGGAUUAUGCCCUGCAGAUCAAUGUGAUUGAGGACAAGAGGAAGUUUGACAUCAUGGAGUUUGUGCUGCGUUUGGUGGAGGCCCAGGCUACCCAUUUCCAGCAGGGCCAUGAGGAGCUGAGCCGGCUGUCCCAGUAUCGAAAGGAGCUGGGCGCCCAGUUGCACCAGCUGGUCUUGAAUUCAGCACGAGAGAAGAGGGACAUGGAGCAGAGACACGUGCUGCUGAAACAGAAGGAGCUGGGUGGGGAGGAGCCAGAACCAAGCUUAAGAGAGGGGGCUGGUGGCCUGGUGAUGGAAGGACAUCUCUUCAAACGGGCCAGCAAUGCAUUUAAGACCUGGAGCA